rnacentral:rRNA from 1 species
UACGGAGGAUCCAAGCGUUGUCCGGAUUUAUUGGGUUUAAAGGGUGCGUAGGCGGAUAAUUAAGUCAGUGGUGAAAUCUUGCGGCUCAACCGUAAAAUUGCCAUUGAAACUGAUUAUCUUGAGUACAGUUGAGGUGGGCGGAAUGUAUCAUGUAGCGGUGAAAUGCUUAGAUAUCUGGAGGAAUACCGGUGGCGAAGGCGGCAUCCUGGACCGAGAUUGACGCUGAUGAGCGAAAGCUAGGGGAGCAAACGGG